UCCCAAAUUUAUAACCCAGUUUUCCGCUAUCUACAGUGGCUCAUGGAAAACACCAUCUUUGGUAGGGGAGAGAGUGUCAGUAUUUUUAGGGAUAUUGAAGUCUUCUUGUUGUACUGUCUAGUUAAUAGGAUGGUGGUUGAUGUGAGAUACUUUUUAGCCAAACAGUUAGAAAAAAUCGAGAAAUCUAGUGUAGGUGACAUUGUUGUUGGGGGGCUGAUCACAAUCCUCGCAGAAUGCAUGAAAUUAGCAUUCACUCACCUACAUGCUGAGAAACCAAUAUCCCGAUUGGAUUUAUCAUAUUGCACAACUUUUGGUCUUAUAACUAAAAUUGAUGACGAAUAUUGGUUAACUUUCUUCAAUCGCUCUAUUUUUCCACUCCCUAAUCAUGAGCUUACUAACACUGAAAGCCAAUAAAAUUGGCAGCCACCUGAAGGUGGCUUGCCUUACGAACUACCUCCUCAGGUACCCCUACAACAAGCGGCUCCACACACUUUGCUCCAUGGUGCAUCCACAUCUAGCGCGUCCCCAAAUUAGAUCAACAUGUUCAACAUGUUAGAGCGGGGGUAGCUACACUUAAAAGAGCCUGUUCACUCCUUACAACAAGAUAUGGGCACAUAAUUCGCUGCCAUUAACACGCGUCUGGAUGGUUUUGGCGCUACACUAGGGACGAUGAACCAAUUGAUACAAGAUUUAUACCAUUUUUCUCUACCUCACGAUUAUCCACCUCCACCGCCACCUCAAUGAGCGGAAUUACUGGAGCUUGGCGUGGAUUAGGAGUCAAGAAGGAGUCAAGAAAUGCAUGGAAAGAGGCUACAUGGUCCCAUAGUGUUCAACAACACGGGCGUGUUGAUUACAAAAGAAAAGCCCGGAGAGCAGAACGAAACAGAGUUAAACACGGUCUGGUUGUGUUGAUAUACACAGCCUUGUCGGUACCAGUAUUCAGUUAUUACGAGAUUUGAAGCAAGAUUUGAAGUUAUCUGUUAACGUGAUCUUUCCCAGAACUUAAAUGAGGACGCCCAGAGGCAUGAAAAACGACAAGAGGCUAGAUUUUUUUUUCUCCUUUUCUUUUCUUCUUCUUCUCCCCUUCUCUCUAAAAAAACUCUUAGAUUAGGUUUUCUUUUGAUUUGGAAUAUGCUGUUUGUGGAGAAUUGUGUACAACUUCAACACUACGUUUAUCUUUCUGAUCUAUCUCGUUUUCCAGUUUA